CCCGAAUUCUUGGGGUCAUUUUUUAUCCAAUUAAGAAUUAUAUAUGUAAAAAAGCAUUUUUAUAUAGAGAUAAAAUAAGAAUAGAUAAUUUAGCCGACCAAGACAAUAUCUGGUUACAAUCUAUAAUUUCAUAGCAUAAUUAAAAAGGUUUUAACUUUUUUAAUAAAUAAAAGAUUCAAUAUUUAAAAUAAUAAAUGUUUAGGAUGAAAAGUGUCCAAAACUAGAAAGUUUUAUAACAGUAAUUAAAUUCUAUGUUGUCUUUUAAAAGAGGUUGUUAAAAACUUUAACUAAUUCUGAUGAAAUUAGUAAAUAAAAUAGAUAUAAGGAACUCAAAAUAUUUACACCUGUUUAUCAAAAACAUCUCCUUAAGUAUAUAUUUAAGGUAUUGCCUGCCCAAUGUGAAAAUUAAUGGCUGCGGUAUAUUAACUGCACAAAGGUAGCAUAAUUAAUUGUCUUUUAAUUGGUGACUUGUUUGAAUGGUUUGAUGAGAAAUAUUUUUUCUUUUAUCUAAUUAUAACUUAUAUUUUAAGGUACGAAUACCUAAAUAAUAAAGAAAGACGAGAAGACCCUGUUGAGUUUUACAAAAUAUAUUUGUUUAAAUGGGAAAUUUAGCUUUUUCUUAAAGUUCUUUUUUGAUCCUGGUUUUCUUAAACUGGAAAAAGGAUAAAAUUACCACAGGGAUAACAGGACAAUAAUUGUUGAGAGUUCUAAUCGAAGCAAUUGGUUGUUACCUCGAUGUUGAAUCGAAAUUUCUCCAUGAUUGCAGAAGUCAUAAGAGUGGGUCUGUUCGACCUUUGAAAUUUCACGUGAUUUGAGUUAAGACCGGCGUGAGCCAGGUUGGUUUCUAUCUUCUAUUGAUCAAUUUUUGUACGAAAGGAAUGGAUUGA
rnacentral:rRNA from 1 species